rnacentral:tRNA from 1 species
GGCGAGGUAGCUCAGCAGGUUAGAGCGUCGGAUUCAUAACCCGGAGGUCGGGAGUUCAAGUCUCCCCCUCGCUA